rnacentral:rRNA from 1 species
AAACCUUUGCAAUAAGCGAAAGCUUGACAGGGCUAUCCCGAGUGCCAUCCGCUGAGGAAGGCUUUUACCCAGUCUAGAAAGCUGGGGGAAUAAGGAGAGGGCAAGUCUGGUGUCAGCCGCCGCGGUAAUACCAGCUCUUCGAGUGGUGUGGAUGUUUAUUGGGCCUAAAGCAUCCGUAGCUGGCUAGGUCAGUCCCUUGUUAAAUCCACCGAAUUAAUCGUUGGAUCGCGGGGGAUACUGCUUGGCUAGGGGACGAGAGAGGCAGACGGUAUUUUCGGGGUAGGGGUGAAAUCCUAUAAUCCCGGGAAGACCACCAGUGGCGAAGGCUGUCUGCUAGAACGCGCCCGACGGUGAGGGAUGAAAGCUGGGGGAGCGAACCGGAUUAGAUACCCGGGUAGUCCCAGCUGUAAACGAUGCAGACUAGGUGUUUGGACGGCCACGUGCCGUUCUAGUGCCGCAGGGAAGCUGUUAAGUCUGCCGCCUGGGGAGUACGAUCGCAAGAUUGAAACUUAAAGGAAUUGGCGGGGGAGCACCACAAGGGGUGAAGCUUGCGGUUUAAUUGGAGUCAACGCCGGAAAUCUCACCGGGAGCGACAGCAGUAUGAAAGCCAGAUUGAAGGUCUUGCUAGACGAGCUGAGAGGAGGUGCAUGGCCGUCGCCAGUUCGUGCCGUGAGGUGUCCUGUUAAGUCAGGCAACGAUCGAGACCCGCGUCCUCUGUUGCAACCAGCUUUGAGCUGGGCACACUGAGGAGACCGCCACUGAUAAAGUGGAGGAAGGAGCGGGCCACGGCAGGUCAGUAUGCCCCGAAUCUCCCGGGCCACACGCGAGCUGCAAUGGCAAGUACAAUGGGUUCCGACCUCGAAAGGGGGAGGCAAUCUCGAAAGCUUGCCGUAGUUGGAAUUGAGGGUUGAAACCCACCCUCAUGAACAUGGAAUCCCUAGUAAUCGCGUGUCACUAGCGCGCGGUGAAUACGUCCCUGCUCC